GAGCUACUCUCUCCGUUCCAAAUUACUCGUCGCUGAAAUGGAUGUAUCUAGAAUUUAAAUACAUCUAGAUACAUCCAUACGUGCGACAAGUAAUUCGGAACGGAGGGAGUACCUG
rnacentral:pre_miRNA from 1 species